UUUUGUGGUCUGGGGUGCUUUUAGUUAAGCUGAGAAAAACCCAUGGAACCUGAUGCAGUUAGUACUGCCGAAGGGAGAACCAUUCCAGCAACUC
rfam:Lactobacillus parafarraginis F0439 genomic scaffold Scfld76, whole genome shotgun sequence.